UUUCCAAUACAGAACUUCAUGGAACAAAUUAUUUGCAUACAUAAGCACUAAAGCCAUAUUCAUUUCAUGUUUUUGCACAAGUACAAAAAAUGGUGCUUCAGGCAGCACUCUUUACAAAAAAAAAAAAUGGUGCUAAUGAGAGCACAUUGUACAACCAACAAAGUAAAAAAACAAAAAAUGUGAAGCAGAGUACAAAAAUAUUGAUUAACUUCUAUCAAAAUCCCUCAGUUCUUGAUAACCUGAUUUUCAUGAGAGAAAGCAGUUUGAACUUUUCUAGUUUUACUUAAAGGGCAUUCUUCCUCUUGUCUCGUAAUAUGUGAUUGGUCUUUAUGAAUUCUCUACACAAAUUCAAAGCCCGUUGUAAAGCACAACUAUUUUGUUAUUUCCUUAUUUACCAGCUUGGGACCUUCCAUGACAAGCUUCCUUGCAAUUCCCUACGACCAAGAAAGAAAAUUACAAGUCAAAUUCCUACACAAGAAUUACUGUUGAGGUUUUUUUUGUUUUUUUUGUUUUUUUUUCAAAGUUUAGAUUUGGAAUGUUUUCAAAGAUUUGGACAAACGGUUAGAGUUAAAAGACUAUAAACCAAGCUGAAAAAUGUUACUAAUAUAUGAUCCAAAGAAAUUCAAAAAUGAAAAACCUAUGGUUUCAAAGGACUUGAACCUCAAAUCAACACUACCACUCAAACUCAUAAUUCAUACUAGCAGUAGCACAUUAGAUCUAAUAUCCCCUAACAUAAGAAAAAAUAUAACAUCAUUCACUAGAAAUUGCACACAAUAUAACACAUUUGAACUAUAAUGGAAACAGUUGGAGAGAGAAUGCCCUUGGUGGUCAUGUUGGGGCAAGAGAGUGACCCUCUAUCAUCAUAGGCAGAGAGAAAGAGCCCAGUCACAGUGAAAGUUUGUUUUUGAGUUCAAAAUCUAAAAUUUUCAUUUCAAAAAUGAAAAUAAAUAACAAUUGGCAUAUAUAUCAGCCAUUAGCCUACUUUGUGAGAAUUAAAUGAAUUAUUGUGGAUCAUCAUCUACCUAGUAAUUACAAUACAUAAAAUUUGUGAAGGAACAUUGUAAGUGAACAUGUAUACUUGUCACCCUUUAUAAAAGGGAUUUAUGUGCAAUAGUGACUAAGAAUUACUUGUACCAAAAUAUGGCAAAAACAAAAAAAAAAGGGAAAACAAUGAGGUCAAUUUUCAUGCUAAUUUUACCCAACAUAUCCAAAACCUUCACUACUGAAUCUCUCUCUCUCUCUCUCUCUCUCUCUCUCUCUCUCUCUCUCUCUCUCCAAUUUUUAUCUAAUAAAAGAAACUAAAAAUCAUGGAAACUCAAAAAAUAAAGAAAAAAUCUGAAAUAGACACCUAGUUUUAAAUUAUUAGACUGAUUUUCUUCCAAAAAUUCAAUGUUUUUUAAUGUCAGUUCCAAAAGUUCAAUGUUUGUUAAAAUCAGGAAGCUAAAAAAAAUUCAAAUCCAAAAAAUACAAUACCUGAUUUAACUUGAAUUUCAUAUCCUUAUCACGCUUCAGCUUCAAUUGACAUUGAGAUGGUGAGAGGGUUUAAACUGCUUUCAGUUGGUACUUUUUUGAAGCUUCUAUCUUCACAUGUUGAUUGAUCCUGAGGUAUUUUGCAGGUUGAUCCAACAAUAUUGAUAGUGGUGCGCAGAAAUCACGACUUACCUCUUGGGUUCUGCAUCCUCGAGAGAGAAACAGGAGGAUGCGAUGCCUCAUGGUUCGAGAGAGAGCGAUGGAUCCCCAUGGAGGGAGAUCGGUACUUUAGGGUUUUUGUCUCAUAGAGAGAGAGCGAGAGUUUGGAUUUAGAUAUUGGAGUGGGCGAGAGUCUAGGGAUUUAGAUGUUGAAGAGGGCGCCAGCUCGGUAUGACUU
rnacentral:lncRNA from 1 species